UCGAUGAGAAAAACAAGGACGAUGAUGGAUUUCUUCGCGUGACCUACAGUGCAGAUUGGAAAUAGGAAGGAGUAGUCUUUCGAUCCGGUGAUAUACCAAGGAUUAAAGAGUUAGACGGUAGGAAUGCUUUAAAACGCUCAUUUGAUGAGCUUGGAAUUUUCAAUGAUUUUACAAAGGGUACUUUGGAGGUGCUGGAACGGCGUAUUUCAGAUGCUAAGAAAAUGAGGCAGUGGUAUCCGUCUCAUGUACCGGUGAUUGUGGAGAAGGAUGGAAGCAGUGGCCUUCCUGAACUUGAUGCAAAGAAAUACCAAGUCCACGUGAUGUCACUCUUGAGGAGUUUGUUGGGUAUCUUCAGACAAAGGUUGCAUCUAAAGAUCCUUUGUUUGUCUAUUUCAAGAACACUGAACAUCCCAAUGGAACCUUGAUGUCUGCGAUUGAUGAGAAAAACAAGGAUGAAGACGGAUUUCUUCGCAUGACCUACUGUGGAACAAGAGAGA